AUCCCCUUCGGGGGUGACGCUUGUGGAAUGAGCGGCGGACGGGUGAGUAACACGUGGGCAACCUGCCUGUAAGAUCGGAAUAACUCCGGGAAACCGGGGCUAAUGCCGGGUAAUCCUUUUUCUCGCAUGAGAGAAGGGUAAAAGAUGGCUUCUGGCUAUCACUUACAGAUGGGCCCGCGGCGCAUUAGCUAGUUGGUGAGGUAACGGCUCACCAAGGCAACGAUGCGUAGCCNACCUGAGAGGGUGAUCGGCCACACUGGGACUGAGACACGGCCCAGACUCCUACGGGAGGCAGCAGUAGGGAAUCUUCCGCAAUGGACGAAAGUCUGACGGAGCAACGCCGCGUGAACGAUGAAGGUCUUCGGAUCGUAAAGUUCUGUUGUUAGGGAAGAACAAGUACCGUUCAAACAGGGCGGUACCUUGACGGUACCUAACGAGGAAGCCCCGGCUAACUACGUGCCAGCAGCCGCGGUAAUACGUAGGGGGCAAGCGUUGUCCGGAAUUAUUGGGCGUAAAGCGCGCGCAGGCGGUUCCUUAAGUCUGAUGUGAAAGCCCACGGCUCAACCGUGGAGGGUCAUUGGAAACUGGGGAACUUGAGGACAGAAGAGGAGAGUGGAAUUCCACGUGUAGCGGUGAAAUGCG
rnacentral:rRNA from 1 species